GUAGGCGGUUUGUCGCGUCUGUCGUGAAAGUCCGGGGCUUAACCCCGGAUCUGCGGUGGGUACGGGCAGACUAGAGUGCAGUAGGGGAGACUGGAAUUCCUGGUGUAGCGGUGGAAUGCGCAGAUAUCAGGAGGAACACCGAUGGCGAAGGCAGGUCUCUGGGCUGUAACUGACGCUGAGGAGCGAAAGCAUGGGGAGCGAACAGGAUUA
rnacentral:rRNA from 1 species